rnacentral:lncRNA from 1 species
GUGGGGACAGGUGAAGGGGAGGAGGAAGAGUGUAUUUUGUUUAUGGGCGGCAACCUCACGAGGGGCGUCCCAUCCUUAUUGGCUCAUUGAAGCGAAGAGUGGCAUGAGAACAACCCAAUAGUAGGAAAAGAUAGAGGGUUCGCGAUGUGAGGCGCCCAAUGUGGGCCUUCUGCCGAAGAGGUAGGGGCGGGGGGAAGUUUAGGAGUUGAGGAAAGAAGAUUAAAGAGCGCGAGGAGUUGCCGCUUCCAAGAAGAGGAGCUGAGGGGGACUAGCCUGGGCUCAGGAGCUACUAGAGGCGCCCGCUUGUCUUCCGCCCCCUCCCUUCUCGCCCUCCCCCCGCUUGCCGUGGCUCUGGCGGUCUCUGGAGCGUCUUCUGAGAACUGGGGGGCGGGAGGGGUCCUGGCCCCAGAGUCGCUGGACGCCCCUCCAGACGCCCGAGCUACCGGCCGCCGCCCGCUUCGCUGCUACGACUCUAGAGGAGGGGGCUUGGGAAGGGAAGACACUCCUUUCCUUCUUUCUCUCCUCCUGUGGGCCCCCGUGGAAACAUUAAAAAGAAAAAAAAAAUGCUUACGGUUUUCAAUAGCCGAGAGAAACGGUUGGAAGCUUUUUAAAAGUUUGAAAGAAAUGCACUGUUUUACAUUGUUUAAUGCAUUACUAUCCGUGUGGCAUUCUGGUCUUUUCCCACCACCCGCCCCACGCCCCGCCCCUCUUGAAGCUGUUAUCCUUUUUAAGGAUGCUGAAGAGGCAGGAGGCAGGGAUUUUCUAAAAGUUCUAUUGAUAAACACACUUGCACAAACAUAUGCUAGGCACACAAACUAUAAACAUGAGCGGAAAACACAAUAUGGCGUACAGCUACCCUACCUAGCGCGGUAAUCCGCUGAUCUCUUAAGGCAGCCCAGUUGAAUGGGGUCAGUAGCAGGAUGACAGUUCUCCAAUAAAAAUCUGAAUGAAUCAGGAAGUAAUUUAGAA